UACGUAGGGUGCGAGCGUUGUCCGGAUUUAUUGGGCGUAAAGAGCUCGUAGGCGGCUUGUUGCGUCGACUGUGAAAACCCGCGGCUUAACUGCGGGCUUGCAGUUGAUACGGGCAGGCUAGAGUUCGGUAGGGGAGACUGGAAUUCCUGGUGUAGCGGUGAAAUGCGCAGAUAUCAGGAGGAACACCAGUGGCGAAGGCGGCUGCCUGGGCCUGGCCUGACGCUGAGGCGCGAAAGCGUGGGGGAGCAAUCCGG
rnacentral:rRNA from 1 species